rnacentral:rRNA from 1 species
UACGAAGGGUGCAAGCGUUACUCGGAAUUACUGGGCGUAAAGCGUGCGUAGGUGGUUCGUUAAGUCUGUCGUGAAAGCCCGGGGCUCACCCCCGGAAGUGCAUUGGAAACUGGCGGACUCGAGUCCCGGAGAGGAGAGUGGAAUUCCUGGUGUAGCGGUGAAAUGCGUAGAUAUCAGGAGGAACACCGGUGGCGAAGGCGGCUCUCUGGACGGUGACUGACGCUGAGACGCGAAAGCGUGGGGAGCAAACAGG